CCUACGGGAGACAGCAGUGGGGAAUAUUGGGCAAUGGAGGCAACUCUGACCCAGCAACGCCGCGUGAAUGAUGAAGGUCUUCGGAUUGUAAAGUUCUGUGAUGGGGGAUGAACACAAUGACGGUACCCCAAUAGCAAGCCACGGCUAACUACGUGCCAGCAGCCGCGAUAAUACGUAGGUGGCAAGCGUUAUCCGGAAGGACUGGGCGUAAAGGUGGCGUAGGUGGUUUAGUAAGUUGGCGGUGUAAUUCCGGGGCUCAACCUCGGCGCUACCGCCAAAACUAUUAGACUAGAGGGCAGGAGGGGUAAGUGGAAUUGCUAGUGUAGCGGUGGAAGGCGUAGAUAUUAGGAGGAACAUCAGGGGCGAAGGCGACUUACUGGACUGUAACUGACACUGAGGCACGAAAGCGUGGGGAGCAAACAGGAUUAGAUACCCGAGUAGUC
rnacentral:rRNA from 1 species